UACGAAGGGGGCUAGCGUUGUUCGGAAUUACUGGGCGUAAAGGGCGCGUAGGCGGCCUUCUAAGUCGAACGUGAAAUCCCCGGGCUCAACCCGGGAACUGCGUCCGAUACUGGAAGGCUUGAAUCCGGGAGAGGGAUGCGGAAUUCCAGGUGUAGCGGUGAAAUGCGUAGAUAUUGGGAGGAACAUCGGUGGCGAAGGCGGCUACCUGGACGGGUACUGACGCUGAUGCGCGAAAGCUAGGGGAGCAAACAGG
rnacentral:rRNA from 1 species